rnacentral:rRNA from 1 species
CACCGCGGUUAUACGAGAGGCCCAAGCUGACAGUCACCGGCGUAAAGAGUGGUUAAUUACAUUACAAUACUGAAGCCGAACAUCUCCAAAGCUGUAUAACGCACUCGGAGACAUGAAGAACAACCACGAAAGUAGCUUUAUACUCUUUUGAGCCCACGAAAGCUAGGAAA